rnacentral:rRNA from 1 species
AUACGGAGGGUGCAAGCGUUGUUCGGAAUCACUGGGCGUCAAGGGCGCGCAGGCGGUUUGGUAAGUCAGAUGUGAAAGCCCAUGGCUCAACCAUGGAAGUGCAUUUGAAACUGUCAGACUUGAGUACUAGAGGGGAAAGUGGAAUUCCCGGUGUAGAGGUGAAAUUCGUAGAUAUCGGGAGGAAUACCGGUGGCGAAGGCGACUUUCUGGCUAGAUACUGACGCUGAGGCGCGAAAGCGUGGGGAGCAAACAGGAUUAGAAACCCCAGUAGUCC